rnacentral:lncRNA from 1 species
CUCUAAAACUUUGCGUGUGUUCUUCUCAAUUGUUUUCUUUCGUGUUGCGUUCUGGGUUUUCGAGUGUGUGAGUGGAGUCGCGAUCUUCAAACAACGAGAGACGUGAGAGAUCGAUAGAAUCAAAGCGUUCGAUAGUCAAGAGAGAUCAUUGAGAUACAAUACAAGUGUGUAUCAGAUUAUUCUACAAGUGGUUUCAGAGCUCGGCUAGAGCAUUCAAAGGAUUCAGAAGACAUGAUCGAGGUCCGGAUUCAGAAGAACGAUCUGGUUCUACGAGGAGUAAAGAUCGAGGAGCACCA